GGAAUUUCAUCUUUCUCUCUGCCGCUGGUUCAUCUUUCUCUCUGCCACUGCUUGGAGGGCUAGCUGAGCAUUGAUUGGGGUUGAGUACCUGAUAACAUCAGAGGGUAGAAGACACACAGAGAGUUUCUGUGACCUUAUCCCCUACGUGAUCUUGUCCAGUGUGACGGGACUCAGAAAGGUUUGGCAGUGGGACAAUAAAAGUUGCAAUAGAGGGAGAAAGUAGAGAUGGAGGAGCAGUGUUAUUCCCUGAUGCUGCUGCUCUAAUUCAGUUUUUCUUAAGAACGUCAGAAGACUCAAGCUUCCUUCAGCUCUGGAUGGAAAAAGUCCUGUAGUCAUGUUUUGCUUUGUUUUUUUUCCCCUCACUUGGAGCAGUGAUGGGACAAAAGAAAGAAAGGAGAACUUCAUGGCUUUAUCUUUUUUUCCUGUUUUCUUCCAUUCGACACAGAGAAAAACCAACUCCCUCAUCUUCUGCUGUUUUUAGAAGGCAGUAGGUUUGCAGACAGUUUGAAGUUGGAAUAGGAUUAGAUCUUGAGGUGAAAGAACAAGCCCCUCUGGAGCUUAGGGUUUCAUACAUAACUUCAAAGCAAAA